rnacentral:rRNA from 1 species
UACGUAGGUGGCAAGCGUUGUCCGGAAUUACUGGGUGUAAAGGGUGCGCAGGCGGGUUGGCAAGUUGGAUGUGAAAUUCCGUGGCUCAACUACGGAGUGGCAUUCAAAACUGUCGAUCCUGAGUGAGGUAGAGGCAGGCGGAAUUCCCGGUGUAGCGGUGAAAUGCGUAGAGAUCGGGAGGAACACCAGUGGCGAAGGCGGCCUGCUGGGCCUUUACUGACGCUGAGGCACGAAAGCAUGGGUAGCAAACAGG